GAUGAAGAACGUAGCGAAAUGCGAUAAGUAAUGUGAAUUGCAGAAUUCAGUGAAUCAUCGAAUCUUUGAACGCACAUUGCGCCCGCCAGUAUUCUGGCGGGCAUGCCUGUUCGAGCGUCAUUUCAACCAUCAAGCCCCCGGGCUUGUGUUGGGGACCUGCGGCUGCCGCAGGCCCUGAAAAGCAGUGGCGGCUCGCUGUCACACCGAGCGUAGUAGAUUUUAUCUCGCUCUGGGCGUGCUGCGGGUUCCGGCCGUUAAACCACCCUUUUAACCCAAGGUUGACCUCGGAUCAGGUAGGAAGACCCGCUGAACUUAAGCAUAUCAAUAAGCGGAGGA
rnacentral:misc_RNA from 1 species